rnacentral:rRNA from 1 species
UACGUAGGCAGCGAGCGUUGUUCGGAGUUACUGGGCGUAAAGGGUGUGUAGGCGGUUCUUUAAGUUUGGUGUGAAAUCUCCCGGCUCAACCGGGAGGGUGCGCCGAAUACUGAGGGACUAGAGUACGGGAGAGGAAAGUGGAAUUCCUGGUGUAGCGGUGAAAUGCGUAGAUAUCAGGAGGAACACCGGUGGUGUAGACGGCUUUCUGGACCGUAACUGACGCUGAAGUGCGAAAGCUAGGGGAGCGAACGGG